rnacentral:tRNA from 1 species
UCCCUAGUGGCCUAGCCGUUAAGGACCUGGCAUUGUCACUGCUGUGGUGCGGGUUCGAUCCCCGGCCUUGGGGA